UACAGAGGGGGCGAGCGUUGUUCGGAAUUACUGGGCGUAAAGGGCGCGUAGGCGGCCUUCUAAGUCGAACGUGAAAUCCCCGGGCUCAACCCGGGAACUGCGUCCGAUACUGGGAGGCUUGAAUCCGGGAGAGGGAUGUGGAAUUCCAGGUGUAGCGGUGAAAUGCGUAGAUAUCGGGAGGAACACCAGUGGCGAAGGCGACUACCUGGCCUGUUUCUUGACGCUGAGGCGCGAAAGCUAGGGGAGCAAACGGG
rnacentral:rRNA from 1 species